rnacentral:rRNA from 1 species
UUUUUAUCCUUACGGGGGAGACAGUCAUGAGACGUGAGUAUAAGACCUGAGUGUAAAGACCUUAGGGUGAAGCAAUUGGAGGGCAAGCUUUGGUGCCAGCAGCCGCGGUAACUCCAACUCCAAGAGUGUCUAUGGUGGAUGCUGCAGUUAAAGGGUCCGUAGUCGUGAAUGCAAUUAAAUGUCGUUGUUCAAUAGCGAUGAGUUUGCUAAUGUUUGCGGAACGGAUAGGGAGUGUAGUAUAGACUGGCGAAGAAUGAAAUCUCAAGACCCAGUUUGGACUAACGGAGGCGAAGGCGACACUCUUAGACGUAUCUUAGGAUCAAGGACGAAGGCAGGAGUAUCGAAAGUGAUUAGACACCGCUGUAGUUCCUGCAGUAAACUAUGCCGACAGCCUGUGUGUGAGAAUACGUGGGCGGGAGAAAUCUUAGUGUUCGGGCUCUGGGGAUAGUACGCUCGCAAGGGUGAAACUUAAAGCGAAAUUGACGGAAGGACACUACCAGGAGUGGAUUGUGCUGCUUAAUUUAACUCAACGCUGGGAAAACUUACCAGGGUCAAGUCAUUCGUUGAUCGAAUACGUGAGAAUGGCAGGAGGGGUAGGGGGGGG